rnacentral:tRNA from 1 species
GUGUAUGUGGCGAAGUGGUUAACGCAUCGGGUUGUGGUUCCGACAUUCGUGGGUUCGAAUCCCAUCAUUCACC